rnacentral:tmRNA from 1 species
GGGGGUGCCAUGGAUUCGACCGUGUAUUAUAGAAUAACACUGCAUGUCGAAGUUGACGGUUGGCUUCGUUAUCAAACCGUUAAAAUAUUAAAUGGCAAUAAUGUCAUAAAUGUUGACUUCAGCAAUGAAGUCAGCGUAGCCGCCUAGUUUAAGGUGGCACAUCGCGUUGCCUGAUGCUCGGUGGGGCAAAUGCGGUGUCGACUUAUCGAGCGUUCAUGUGGUACUGCGUGGCAUGCCCUGUGAACUACCUGUGUCACGCUAGCUGCGGCACAGCAUGUCGGUGUGCGGUGUUGCGGCGAGAUUAAAUCGCCGGACAAGCGUGUAGAUGUGUUUUUUGAAGAUAUAUGGGACGCGGGUUCAAUUCCCGCCACCUCCACCA